AUUGAACGCUGGCGGCAUGCCUUACACAUGCAAGUCGAACGGCAGCACGGGAGCAAUCCUGGUGGCGAGUGGCGAACGGGUGAGUAAUAUAUCGGAACGUGCCCAGUCGUGGGGGAUAACGUAGCGAAAGCUACGCUAAUACCGCAUACGAUCUAUGGAUGAAAGCGGGGGAUCGCAAGACCUCGCGCGAUUGGAGCGGCCGAUAUCAGAUUAGGUAGUUGGUGAGGUAAAGGCUCACCAAGCCGACGAUCUGUAGCUGGUCUGAGAGGACGACCAGCCACACUGGGACUGAGACACGGCCCAGACUCCUACGGGAGGCAGCAGUGGGGGAAUUUUUGGGACAAUGGGCGCAAGCCUGAUCCAGCAAUGCCGCGUGCAGGAUGAAGCUCGGUGUAAC
rnacentral:rRNA from 1 species